rnacentral:ncRNA from 1 species
AAUACACACUAGGCAAGCUACUAGAUGAAUGACUAGGCUCGAAACGCUGAUGAAGGACGUGACAAGCAACGAUAUGCCUCGGCGAGCUGAACGUAGGCUUAGAACCGAGGAUUUCUGAAUGAGACUUCUCUUUAAGACCCUUCGGGUCGGGGAACGCAGGGAAUUGAAGCGUCUUAGUACCUG